rnacentral:antisense_RNA from 1 species
UUUGAUCGAACCCAGCCACAGCGGUCGGUCCGCGGAAUGCUCCCGGCCGUAGGUGGCGAUCAGCGCGUGCGCUUC